GUCUCAGUGAAGCCAAGUAACUGCUGAAACAAACACAGGGCUUUGGUCAAGAUGAUAGAUCCAAUCCAGUUGAAAAACCUACUUUUCACAUUUGGAGGGGCAGCAUCGGUGAAAGCAGCACAUGUAAUAAUUCCAUCUUAUCAAUCUGUGUCAGUGACAAUAACAGUUUCGUUGAUCUUCCUUGGAAUCUAUGCAGUGACCAAAGACCAUUCUCCAGAAAAUAUGACCAAGAUAAUCAUCGGAAUGAUUGCAUUGAAUGUCACUGAUUUGCUCAAAAUGGAAAUCAAGCUGGCGUGUGGAUUCAAUGCUUUUGUGAUACUCAUACUUGGCUUUAUGUCUGUGAAGGGGAACCAGGAAUCAGCUGAGAAGGAGACAGAAAGCCUACCAGAUGAUCAUUUUUCUCUCUCAAAUACACUGGAGAACAGACUUAUGAUGUUCCCAGUGGUUGGAGUGGUCCGAGUGGUCCGAGGGGGCCGAGGUGUUGUAACUUGUAGGAGAGUAAUGUUAAGUGACAUUGGUUCGGUCGGUGUGCUGAUAGCAGCUGAUAACAUAGAAUUUACAGGGAAUUUAUAGCUACUUCUGCGUUGAAUCGAUGCCAUAGCUGGGUGAUUCUCUAAAUUCUGUGCACAUUGGGUUCUCUAGUUACUGAAAAAAAUACCACAAUUAAUUGUGUUUCUGAACAUUGCAUCUGAUGAAGGACUAUUUGAACCUCUGAGAAAAUACGUUUUCCCACCUUAGGCAUGAAUUCCCAAACAUUACUGUAUUAGGAAUUUCUUUGUCACUUAGAUUGUUUUAAAUUCAACCCUGUAACGGGACAAUUUGAUUCCUGUGUGAAUAUAAUUCUAAAACAUAUUCAAACUAAUUCUUGC